rnacentral:lncRNA from 1 species
CGAAAUUUUGGUCUAGCACUUCCAGUUGGCUUAAAAAUUGUCUCUAGAAAGAUGCUCGAUUCGUACCAUACAAGUCAUAUAAGCCGAGAACCUAUCGCGGACUUUAAAUCGGUACGAAUCAGAUAGAAAUCGCAACAGGAAAAUAGAUAGCCUGCAAGUCACCGCACAAACCUUAAAACCGAGAGUAAACCUAGGUCUUG